rnacentral:rRNA from 1 species
GUUACUGCUAUCGGAGUUCGAUUAAGCCAUGCGAGUCUAAAGGUUUCUUCGGAAACCUUGGCGGACUGCUCAGUAACACGUGGAUAACCUACCCUUGGGACUGGAAUAACCCCGGGAAACUGGGGAUAAUACCGGAUAGAUCAGGGAUGCUGGAAUGCACCUUGAUCCAAAGCUCCGGCGCCCAAGGAUGGGUCUGCGACCUAUCAGGUUGUAGUGGGUGUAACGUACCUACUAGCCGACGACGGGUACGGGUUGUGAGAGCAAGAGCCCGGAGAUGGAUUCUGAGACACGAAUCCAGGCCCUACGGGGUGCAGCAGGCGCGAAACCUUUACAAUGUGCGAAAGCAUGAUAAGGGAACUCCGAGUGCCAGUAUCUAAUGCUGGCUGUCCUUGUGCCUAAAACGCACAAGAUAGCAAGGGCCGGGUAAGACCGGUGCCAGCCGCCGCGGUAACACCGGCGGCCCGAGUGGUAGCCGCUAUUAUUGGGGCUAAAGGGUCCGUAGCCGGUUCGAUAAGUCCUCUGGGAAAUCUGGUUGCUUAACAAUCAGACUGCCAAGGGAUACUGUCGAACUUGAGACCGGGAGAGGUAAGAGGUACUUCAGGGGUAGGAGUGAAAUCUUGUAAUCCCUGGGGGACCAUCUGUGGCGAAGGCGUCUUACCAGAACGGGUCUGACGGUGAGGGACGAAAGCUGGGGGCGCAAACCGGAUUAGAUACCCGGGUAGUCCCAGCCGUAAACGAUGCUCGCUAUGUGUCAGGUACGGUGUGGCCGUAUCUGGUGCCGUAGGGAAGCCGUGAAGCGAGCCACCUGGGAAGUACGGUCGCAAGACUGAAACUUAAAGGAAUUGGCGGGGGAGCACUACAACGGGUGGAGCCUGCGGUUUAAUUGGAUUCAA